GGAAGGUACAGAGUANCGUUAAACCUCUUUUGUCAGGGAACAAAGGCGGGGACGUGUCCCCCGGUAUGAGUGUACCUGAAGAAAAAGCAUCGGCUAACUCCGUGCC
rnacentral:rRNA from 1 species